rnacentral:piRNA from 1 species
AUCUGACUGGAGCCACAGAUACAGA